GGGACACAAGAACACAUCCCCGCAAAUACGCGAGCUCCAAACCCAAAUAACCAAUACUUUCACCCAAGAACUUCCCAAAUUAAGUGGAGAAGAUAUUUUCAAAGGAAUAGGUCAGAGACUCUUGGACCUUAACCAUAUCUCUCAGAUUAAGGGUGCUUUGCUUCUUCUCUGCUUAGCUCAGGAACUUUGUUCUUACUAAUGUGUUUCUGUUUCCUAGUCUACUGCUGGUGGAGUCGAAGAGAACGAACUGUGAAACGAAAUAAUCAAGUUAUGUCUGUCUUUCGACAUGUUCAACCUCAGCUGUGCAAUAUUUAAAGAAAAGGGGAGAUGAAAGGGACGGCCUUUGUUUUCCCCAUGUCUGCACGCAGAAUGGGAAAGCACCUAUGAUGCCAGCUUGGAAACAACUGGUGCAGUCCUUGGAAGCUGUAUGCCCACAAAAGCGUAUCCAAGAUGCCUUACACUGCAAACAGAAAGAGGCCUUGGGGACAUGUGCACACACCGCCCUGCUUACUGGGCAGAUUUUAAGAAAUCAACAAAAUGUUCUAGUCUGUUCCCCGUGAGAAAGAAAAGAUAAAUAUGACAUCUGGCUGAGGUCCGAGAAAGGCAGUAUAAAAAUAAAGGAGCUGCGCCACAUCGGGGCUGCAGCCAUUGUCUAUCUUUGUUGCUUGUGUUUUUUGUAACUUCCCAGUACACCCCAGCAGGUCGAAACACUGGUGCUAUCAGGCGGUUUUUGUUUUUUUUCACGAGUGUCUCGGCGUACCUAAGUCGCUGUCUCCUUCACAAAGGAAGCCUCAGAGGUUAACAAGCACAGCCACCGAGAGCACAGGCCCCUUAAAUGAACAAGAUGGCGGCCGCGGGUCUCCACCCACUCAGGGCGGAUGCCUGGGUCACGUGACCCCCUGCCUGGCACCGCCUCCGGCUGCAGUGCCCGACGGGAGACAGAGCCGCGAACGAGGCCGUCGGCCAUUUUGUGUCUGUUUCCUGUGGGACGGGUGGUGGCCGUUGGGUCGGAAGAGUGAACGAUUUUUACUUCUUUUUCCUGCUUGUUUUCUCCCCUCUUCUACUUUGUCGGUAGGGUGCGGUUAUGGGUCGCAAGAAGAAGAAGCAGCUGAAGCCGUGGUGCUGGUAUUGUAAUAGAGAUUUUGAUGAUGAGAAGAUCCUUAUACAACACCAAAAAGCAAAGCAUUUUAAAUGCCAUAUAUGCCAUAAGAAACUGUAUACAGGGCCUGGUUUAGCUAUUCAUUGCAUGCAGGUGCAUAAAGAGACAAUAGAUGCUGUACCAAAUGCAAUACCAGGAAGAACAGACAUAGAGUUGGAAAUAUAUGGUAUGGAAGGUAUUCCAGAAAAAGACAUGGAUGAAAGAAGACGACUUCUUGAACAAAAAACACAAGCAGAGAGUCAGAAAAAGAAGCAACAAGAUGACUCUGAUGAAUAUGAUGAUGACGACUCUGCAGCUUCAACUUCCUUUCAACCGCAGCCUGUUCAACCUCAACAAGGUUAUAUCCCCCCAAUGGCACAGCCAGGAUUGCCACCAGUUCCUGGAGCACCAGGAAUGCCUCCAGGCAUACCUCCAUUAAUGCCAGGUGUUCCUCCAUUGAUGCCAGGAAUGCCACCAGUUAUGCCAGGCAUGCCACCUGGAUUGCAUCAUCAGAGAAAAUACACCCAGUCAUUUUGCGGUGAAAACAUAAUGAUGCCAAUGGGUGGAAUGAUGCCACCUGGACCAGGAAUACCACCUCUUAUGCCUGGUAUGCCACCAGGUAUGCCCCCUCCUGUUCCACGUCCUGGAAUCCCGCCGAUGACGCAAGCACAGGCCGUUUCAGCACCAGGUAUUCUUAAUAGACCACCUGCACCAACAGCCGCAGUUCCUGCUCCACAGCCUCCAGUUACUAAACCUCUUUUCCCCAGUGCUGGACAGAUGGGGACACCUGUAACAAGCUCAAGUACAGCUUCAUCCAAUUCAGAAAGUCUGUCUGCAUCUUCUAAAGCUCUGUUUCCUAGCACAGCACAAGCUCAGGCAGCCGUCCAAGGACCUGUUGGUACAGAUUUCAAGCCCUUAAAUAAUACUCCUGCAACAACUACAGAACCCCCAAAGCCUACAUUCCCUGCUUAUACGCAGUCUACAGCUUCAACCACUAGUACGACAAAUAGCACUGCAGCUAAGCCAGCGGCUUCAAUAACAAGUAAGCCUGCUACACUUACAACAACAAGUGCAACCAGUAAGUUGAUCCAUCCAGAUGAGGAUAUAUCACUGGAAGAGAGAAGGGCACAGUUACCUAAAUACCAACGUAAUCUUCCUCGACCAGGACAGGCUCCCAUUGGUAAUCCACCAGUUGGACCAAUGGGAGGUAUGAUGCCACCACAGCCAGGCAUCCCACAGCAACAAGGAAUGAGACCCCCAAUGCCACCUCAUGGUCAGUAUGGUGGUCAUCAUCAAGCCAUGCCAGGUUACCUUCCUGGUGCUAUGCCACCAUAUGGGCAGGGACCGCCAAUGGUGCCCCCAUACCAAGGUGGGCCUCCUCGACCUCCAAUGGGAAUGAGACCUCCUGUAAUGUCGCAAGGUGGCCGUUACUGAUCUUACUUCAUCCAGUCUAAUAGGUUUUUAGAAGUGAAGUAUAGUAAAUUUGGUUCGUUAUAUUGUGAAGGCGCUGGAAUUACAUGAACAUACCACCUUAAUUAAAGCCCUGCCAUAGGACAGGCUGAGGCUGAGUCUCAGUGUUGCCCUGUUCAGUCUGAGGCAAGUGGGAUUUAUUUUAUUCCUUACAGGGGCUUUCACAGCUUUAUGGCUGUUGGAUAUUUAUGUCCCCAAACUUGCAGCAAGUUUGGUGAAGGCCCCUAAAUUUAAUUAAACUUAGGAUUUUUAUACUCUUUUGGCAGAGAAGGCUCUAUAUUAAUAUUCAUGUUUGUGGUGUUACAAUAAACAUAGUAUUUGAUAUCUAUAACUUCAUGUAAUUUACUCUGUGUAGAUAAUAUUUAACAGCCUCAGUAAAGCUGGUAUUGCUAUAUUGAACUUGAGUAAAUUGAUAAAAUUUGACAUUCUUGAUUUGGAGGCAUGGAAUGUUUCAUUCAAAUUUUCCACUUUUACUUUCAGGAAAAUCUUACUGGUUGUUUUUUCCUCAAACUAUUAAAUUUAACCUCAAGGAUAAGUUUAAAUAUUGGAAAUGCCACUGGAUACUGAAGUUUGCAUUCUUAAUCCCAAAGUUACACAUUGAACAUUAAGGUUGAAAGGUCAUCUGCAAAGGCUUGUGCUAGUAUUUUCAAGUUCACCACAUUAGAGCAAAUGUUAAUGUAGAGCCCUGUGAAGAGUGGGAUGGGAAGGUGGUGUGUGUGGUGUUUGGUAUACCCUACACAUGUAUAAUAGAAGUUUGGGUAUUACACACCUGUCAGUAUGGAUAGAUUACUAAUUUUCAGGUAGCCAGACUGGAAUUGUAUCAUGUGGUAGUUAGUUUAUUGAACUGUGAUUUUUGAACAUUUUGAGGUUUAUUUUCAGGUUCAGUAUUUAAAAUUGAGUAAUUUAUGCAAUAUGCACACACAAAAAGUAUCCACAUUUGUUUUCAAGUAAGAUUUGCUUUUAUUUGGUGAGAAAAGUUGUGUUUAUGUGUGUAUGUUGUAGGGAGUCAAGAGGAAACUGGAAGAAAGGCCAAAACAAACCUGAAUUCGUUUUGUUCAUCGCUGUGUUUAAGCCACUGUUCUAACCAGAUAACAUUUUCCUCUGAACAGUAACAAUUACCAUAUAAUACAAUCUUUAGUGAACCCAGGAUUGUGUUGCUAUGUGGUUUUAAAUCUUGGAAGCAUAAAGAAAAAAUGUGCAUUAACUGAAUUUCUUAUUUUCACCUUUGUAAGUAGAACAUACACUUUUUCUUCACUGAAUCAUGGGAAAACAUUCUAAUGUUUGCAAAAAUAAUUUUGUCGCAACAAAUAUUCCAUUGAAAUAUUUUUUAAUCUCAGUAAUUGCACUGUUUAAGUCUCCUUAGUGGGAGAUGUUUCUUUUUUCACCUAGCAUUCCCCAAUAUACUGAAUUAUUUCAAGAAUGAAGCCACUUGUCCUCAUUCUAAUAGUGAUAAAUAAUUAUCAUUGAAAUGGGCUCUGAUAUACUUGAGUACUGGGAGUGGGAAGGAUUUUUAAGAGUGGCAUAAUUUGUUGAAGGUCUUACCUAACUAAGGUGUAAUUUCUUUGCUAUCUGUGUGACUCAGACAAAUAUAAUUUUGAGAAUUAAAAAACUUUCACAUAUCUUCUAUAUCCGUUGGUAAAAGUUGGUAAAUGAAAGGAAAUGUUGAAGUAACUUUACCGAGAUUAAAAUUUUGAGUAAACUGAUGUUUGUAUUGUUUAAGGGAUGCAAAAAACCAUGUGCCCUAAAAAUUUUGUAUAAAUUAGUUAUAUCUUUAAAAAUAUAGUAUUCACCUACUUAAUAUUGAAUAACUUUUGUAUGUUACUCCAAAACAAAAACUGUUUUUUUUCUUACUGUAACUUUUAUGAAAAAGUCUUCUAAAAAAGGAGGGAUUCAGUUAUAAGACUAGAAUGCAGAUUGUUGUAAGUAAACCCCCCAGUUAACACUUCUGCUUGCCAUCUCAUGACUUGAAUAUCAGUGAAGAUUAAUCCUUUUUUUUUACCCUUCAUUCUCAGUAUUUUGUUUUCUGUCACCUGAAUCAUUUUAAUAAAUAACCUUUUGUUUUCAUAGCAUAGAAAUCAUCUAACUUUUCUGUGUGAUAUUUCUUGGCAAAAUAAGAAUCAUUUACUUUAAUGGUAUUGUAUAUAGUGUCGUGCACAUAGUGGGUAUUCACAAUUUUGUGAUUUGAAUUUCCAGAACUGUAUUUUAAUAUCUUUACUCUUGGGCAUCCCCUAUUAUGGAUUUAAUUCAUAUUAAUGGAGAAAGCAGGACUUCAGUUUGAGCUCCUUCAAAGUAUUUCUUACUUUUCCAAGUGUUUUCAUGGUCUUAUUUGGCAUUUUUGUUGGGAAAUAAGUUUGAAGAUAGCAUUUUCUUAAAAAUAACAGUUAUUCAGUACAGCUCAGAAGGAAAAUUGCUUUUUAUAAGCUUGUAUUUCCUGUUCUGGGUUCUAUACACUCUUUCAUAAUAAUUUGGCUAUAAAAGGAAGACCUUUUUGUUUUCCUCCCAAUCCUGGGAAGAGCUUGACAGUGAAUUUAGUUUGAAAUAUUUGAAUCAUCACUCUUAAAGCAUCUAUUCAGCUAAUCUCAUAUAUUCUCAGGGAAAAAUAUCUUUAUUUUACCAAGCAGGAUAUAGAAGUCAUAUUAAGGCAGAAAUUAGAGAAAAGGAGAUCAUCACUGAAGCUAAUUUGAACUAUUUCUAUUUGAAGCAAAUUGAACACCAUAUUACAUAACCCAUCACUCAUUCAUGGUUAGGUUCUUUAGGAGACAUACUCAUCUAUAUUAAGAGUGAUUGUGUUUAUGUUUAAUUUUGAUUGAAUAAACUAAUUUAACAGGUGAUUAUUUGGACCCCACCCAUUAGUUCUAAAUGCUGCUGUAUAAGGUGGUGAUAGAGCACAGCUUCAGUAAUGUGCUGUGUAUUUGGUCAGGGGUUUGUAUAAUGUUAUCUUUGUAAAAAGGGGAGUCUUUUAUUGGAAUUCUCCAAGCCCUUUGGCAUUCUUUUACUGUGCCUUGGGUUUUGUUUUUGUUGUAUUACUAUAGUUAAAGAAUCUGUAUGCCUUCACCUUUGGUUAAAUUUGAGGAACUGGCAGUGACAUUCAUUGAUGCCCAACUUGGAUAAAAAUGAAGAAUGAUGUUUCCCCAGUGUUACUAUACAGACCAUAGUGAUUAUUUGGGAGAGACCAUUAUAUAGUGUUGUUAGACUUAUGAACCUUAAAUGUAGUAAAGGGUAGUAACAUUCCCUCUCUCUCUAUUAAGGUGUCAGUAAAUCAUUUCUUACAAUGCUGUAUAACGUUUUAUUCAUAAAUGGUUCAAUCAGUCAGAGAUGAAAAUAAACAUUGCUGCAUCGUUUCCCAGUGUCUAGUAAUAAAACAAGGUUGCCUAGCUACCCAAGUGAACCAAGGGAAGUAUUAAAGUUCCUGUAAGUUUGAGUUACAAAACAUAGGGCAUGUGUUAUUUAGCAAAGCUUACCCCUUUAACUGUUAGCUUGUUAGUGUACUUUCAGGAGAAGCAAUAUAAUUUAUUUUUUAGCCCGUGUUUUUUAAAUCAAAUAUCUAAUACAAGAAAAUAAAAUCAAGUUUUCAAAAAGAAAAUUAAAAAUUACCAAAAAUUGCUUCCUCUAUGGGUUGUGUCUAUAUAUACUUAAGUUUUAAAAUGACUAUGUUGAAGAGAUUUUUUUCCUAGAUACGUGCCCAACCUUUUUUAGAGUAACCAGAAUGUCCAUGUAAUAACACACAAUACAUAGUUUACUAAAAUUAAGGUGUGUCCAGGAGAUACACAGUGUUAUUGAUUCAUUCUCAUAAGGUCACUCUAAAUUUAAUAGCCAAUGUAAGGUAACUUGUAAGACUUAGGGACAUUUUUUAAAUGUAUUAAUGUCAGGCUCUGAGGAAAUUUAAUGCACAUUGACUUUAAACUAUGGAUUGAACUCCUCAGUUUAAUACAAUUUGUGUUUUUGUUAACUAGCAGCAGAUUUCAGCAUUUGCUACUUACUGGUAGAGAAGAAAAAUCCCACAGCCCUGCCAGUACAGAAAUUAACAACAAAAGAGGAAAUUGAAGUAAAAUUGAAGAAACGAUUGAACUUCACUAAAUAUUUCUUCAUUGGAAGAGCUAUUAUUUCCCAGACUAUCUGCUCAAAGUCAGGAAAAGAGAUAUUAAAACAUUCAGUAAUUGAAAUUAUUGUAUGUUUUAGCUACAUGUCUUAUUUUUGGACACUUUUGCUAAAUAUCUUACUAUAGAAAGAUGAAGAAGUUGAAGUUAACACUGGUAAACUUUCCACCUUCUUUCCCCUGUCCCACUGUUUUUGUAGUUGUUAUUUGUCAAGUUUUAUAACAUUACUUUAUGUCCUGUUUAGUAUUAGUUCUGUAUUUAAAUGGAACCACUGCUAACCACCAGCAGAGUUUUCCCUAUUGAGUUCAUUGUUUUGACCCAUCACUGAAUUUGAUUUUAUCAAGUGUUUUUUUCCAGAAAAGUUCUUUGUCCUAUAUUCCCUGAUUUUUUUUUUUUUAUGUUGAGAAUAUCUGUCUGUUUCUAUAAUAUUUGAAAAUAUCUAGACUGGGUAUCAUAUUUUUGGGUCACAUUUUAGUUCUUCUGAAAUGUGUGGCAAGAUCUCAUUGUUUUCUGGUUUUGACCCUUGCCUUAAAGAGAUCUGAGACAACCCUGAUUCCCAGCUCCCCUUCACCCCUCUUAGUCAACUUGUUUUGUCUGGUUGUCCAAAGAAUUUUUUCUUCAACUUUGAUGUUAAAUAACUUAAAUGGGUAGGGAUCUGUGUCUACUAUUCUGUACCAGCAUUUUUUUCUUCCUGGAAAUGGUUAUUUCCAUCUAUAAUUCAUUCCUCAUGAAUUAUUCAUGAAUAAUUUCUUCAUUUAUAAAAGAAAAGUUUUCAAAAAUUAUUUCUUUGAAAAAUUUUACUGUUUUAUUUUUUACUUUACUUCAGGGACAUCAGUUAUCUUUAUGGUAGAUGCCCUUUCUUCUUUACUAUUAUUACCUCUAUAGUCUAUAAAUUUCCCAAAGUCUAUAAACUAAUGUAAAUUACAGUCAUGGAACAGUGCUGUAGGUAUGGGUGGGCAGAAACAAACUCAUCUCAGGUCCUAGAAAUAAUGAAGAUAAAACCCUGCAGAAGAUUAGUUCACAAUACAAAAUGACAACACAUGAGAAACAAUUCUCCAGGAGGGAGAGUCAGCAGACGUAACAAACUGCAGGAUUAGAAACCAAGAACAUCAAAUAAUUAUCAGAUACAGAUUCCCAUCCCCCUCAGAUAUGGAUUAUACACAUUGGUUUAAAUGACUAAGAACAUUAAAGAAGGAACCUAAAGCAUAAGGAAGUAAACAAUACUUUGAAAGAAGAACAGUUCUGGAAAAGGACCAAAUAAAUCUUGUAGAAAUGGAAAUAUAUAUAUUUCAAUUUGAUUAAAACUUAGUAGUGUAUUAAAUAGCAGAUUAGAAGUAGCUGAUUAUAUAAUCAGUGAACUAUUAAAUUCUUAAAAAUUACCUAGAAUGUAUAGCAUCUUACUAUGCUGAUAGACACUGACUGCAAUGGGGUGUGUGUGUGGGACCUGAUAAUAGGGGUGAAUGUUGAAACCACAAUGUUGUUUAUGUGAAACCUUCAUAAGAUUGUAUAUCAAUGAUACCUUAACUUAAAAAAAUUACCUAGAAUGUAGCAUGAGAUAAGGAGAUGGAAAAGAUAAGAAAUAUAGUGAAAAGGUGCAGAUAAUCCAACACAAUGAUGUCCAAUAGAAAUAUAAUAUGAGGAACAUAUGUAACAAGUUCUAGGAUCAAGGCUAAAGAAAGUAAAAAGAAACAGGUGAAAUUAAUCCAAAAUAUCAUUUCAAUAUAUACUCAAUAUAAAAGUUAUAAAUCAGAUAUUUUACAUUUUUUUCCUACUGUCUUUAAAAUCCAGCAUGUAUUUUGUAUUAACAACAUAGUUCAAUCUGGAUUAGCCACAUUUCAAGUGCUCAAUAGCCACAAAUAUCUAUGGACUAUUGAAUUGGGCAUAACUUAAAUCUAAAAGGAUUUCCAGGAGAGAAGAGAGGUAGAGGAGGCAAUAUUUGAAGAGAUAAUGGUUGAGACAUUUCCAGGAUUAAUGUAAGACAUGAAUCCUCAGAUGCAGGAAGCACAGUUGCUCUGAAACUGUAGAGAGACGAGGGCAGAAGAUACAUUAAAAUUAAUCAGAGAAAAUGUUUACCUACAAAGGAACUUCAACUGGACUGAGGGCAGUUAUCUUUAAUCUCUUUAAAAUGCUGAGUAAAAAUAAGUGCCAACAUAAGAAUUUUAUACCCGCUGUCAAUUAAGAAUGAGAGUAAAAUGAAGGCAUUCUCAGUCAAAAACAAAGUAUCACUAGCAGACUUUCACUGUAGGAGAACCAUAAUAAAACACAAAUACAGUAAGCUAUCUGUAGAUGUGGGGAGAAGUGGUAGCAUGAGAUUUCCAAAGAGAAGUGAAAAGAUAAUGACAUACAUUCUGUACUUUCUAGUGUCUUUGUCCUCUUUAGAACUCCAGGGGUAGUGAGUGUACAGAGUUGAGCAGUCAGUACUAGCCUAGAACUGCCAACCUUAGCUCCUUGUCUCUGCUGCAGCAUAUGAGGCUGAGAAGGAAGAGUAUGACCUCUUGCACAAGUGAUGAUAGCAUUCCCCUAUUUGCUCAGCUAUGGAAUACAAAGUGUUUAAAAAGCUCAGUGAAAAGUUAACAGUUAUAUGAGGAAAGAAGUAGCUUUGGAAUAGGGUAGCGUGGGAGAGAUCAGGGCUUUGUAGCAUGGUUGGAGUGAUGUUGGGACAGAAAGAAACUUAGAGAGGGAAGGGAGGUGGCAAGACCAAGGGUGCGAAGUGUAAGAUGGGAAAGAAUUGACAACUGAUUGCUACCCAACUGCAAUAAAAAUCACCAAUUAAACCUUCCUUUAGCUCUCCAAGAGGGCUCCAUGAGAAAGAGGAGUAGUGGGUGCUAACCAGACAAUUUAAUCAGCGACUUAAUUAUAAUUUGAAUAGCUGCCAUUUAUGGAGCACUUACAUGUGUCAGCCAUAGUGCUGAAGUGUUCUAGUGUCUUUGAAAAUUUAAUCUUCAAACACUUCUGUGAAUGAGGUUCUUUCUAUUGUGGUAAAAUAUACAUAACAAAAUUUACAAGUUUAACUUUUUAAGGGUACAAUUUUGUGGUAUUAGGCACAUUAUAUUGUUGUGCAACCACUAAGGGAAGUGUGUGUAUAUAUAUAUAUAUAUAUAUAUAUAUAUAUACACACACAUAUAUAUUUUUAAAUUCUUAUCUUAGUUACUGCUUUAUUUAUUUAUUUUUUUAUUUUGGUAUCAUUAAUCUACAAUUACAGAAAGAACAUUAUGUUUACUAGGUUCCCCCCUUCACCAAGUCCCCCCCACAUACCCCUUCACAGUCACUGUCCAUCUGCGUAGUAAGAUGCUGUAAAAUCACUACUUGUCUUCUCUGUGUUGUGCAAGGGAAGUAUAUUUUAAAAAUAAUUUUACUGAUGGAGGUACUUCUUUGCUUUGUGCAGAGACCCCCACACAGAUGCCUUGACUGAAACCCCUAGGACUCUGUCCAGUUUUUCCAGCACCAAGUCUGGCUCUGGCUCUGUCAAGAAGUUGGUAUUCAAAAACUAUAAAGAUAAAGCUCUGAUGCUGGAAAAGUACACUGAAGAAACAUGGCAAAAAUUAAAGGAGGCUAUACAAGCUAUCCAGAACAACGUCUCCAUUAAGUACUCCCUGGAAGAACUUAUCAGACUCCAAAUUAGGAGGCACAAAGACAAGCCCCAGAGUGGAAACACACAUCUACAGUUCCUUGAGAACAAGGUCUGUAUUCCCCUGACUGUCCCCAGCAAGCAGUGGAUUUGCUGUCACUAUGAUUGUUGAAAACUUUUGCUCCUUCAAUUUAUCUGCAAACUUGUAUAAACAACUGAAGCGGCUUUGUGAACUCCAUAUCAAGGCACAAGUUCAUCAGUUCAGAGAAUGAGUGAAAUCAUUUGGUACUUGUCUUUCUCCGCCUAGCUUAUUUCACUGAGAAUAAUACCCUCUAGCUCCAUCCAUGUUGUUGCAAACAAUCAUGAUUAGGAACAUUUUUCUGUUCCUAGACAGAUCUUAUGUUUUUUGGAAUCCAGUGUUACCUCCAUUUGGGACAUGGGCUUGAAUUAUUUAAAUCACACAUAAUUUGUGAUCAGAACAUUGAGAGCAAGACUAUAGAUGGGACUCUUCUGUUGAUUGAAAAAGAAAGAAAUGGUGAAGCGGUUGAUCGACAUUUGAUUCAAAGACUUUUAAAUAUGCUUUCUGAUUUGCAAAUUUGCAAAGAAUCUUUUGAGAAUAAACUACCCAAAGAAACAAGGAAGUUCUAUGCAACAGAGGGAAGGAACUUCGUGCAAAAACAAGAGAUGAGUGAAAUCAUUCGAUACUUGUUUUUCUCUGCCUGGCCUACCUCACUGAGCAUAACACCCUCCAGCUCCAUCCAUCUUGCCGCAAACGCCUACUGAUCUGAAAAAGCAAAAGAAUCCUUAACUGACAGAGACUGCAUUGAAAGAUACAAGGAAAACCCAAACCAGUUCAAGUAUAUUGCAUAAAACUCUGGCCUUAACCUGAACAUAUGAUACUCUUUCCACUUUCAGUGGGUACCUCAUGGUCCUGUCUUUUGAAUAAAUAUGGUGUCUGAAUAAAA